rnacentral:rRNA from 1 species
CCGGGGGCUGCAGUGGGGAAUAUUGGGCAAUGGGCGCAAGCCUGACCCAGCAACGCCGCGUGAAGGAAGAAGGCUUUCGGGUUGUAAACUUCUUUUAAGAGGGAAGAGCAGAAGACGGUACCUCUUGAAUAAGCCACGGCUAACUACGUGCCAGCAGCCGCGGUAAUACGGAGGUUGCAAGCGUUGUCCGAAUUUACUGGGUGUAAAGGGCGUGUAGCCGGGCUUACAAGUCAGAUGUUAAAUUCCGGGGCUCAACCCCGGACCUGCAUUUGAAACUGUUGGUCUUGAGUAUCGGAGAGGCAGGCGGAAUUCCUAGUGUAGCGGUGACAUGCGUAGAGAUUAGGAGGAACACCAGUGGCGAAGGCGGCCUGCUGGACGACAACUGACGGUGAGGCGCGAAAGCGUGGGGAGCAAACAGGAUUAGAUACCCUUGGAGUC